UUAUAUGUUAGGAUAGUGUGGAUACAAAGACGGCUAUCUUUGGAAUCGUCUUCAUAUGUAUGGCUUUCCAAUUCCCACGCCCUAGCCCCUCUCUUUCCCUCUCACUCACAUUUCACUCUCUAAUUUUCUUUUUUCACUCACUCACCACUGUUGUAUUUUCCCUCUCCACUCCUCACCCACAGCCGCCCCGUAAUAGUCACUCGUCGGCACCACCACGUUGCGUCGGCGCUCCGAGCCACUUCUUCGACGUUUAGCAACGCCAUUCUGCACCCACCGCCGUGACCUGGAUUGCGUAACCAACGCCAUUCCACGGUGACUGUCGCGCCCAGGAUUGCCGCAACCAACGACACGGACACCGCCCAAUCUCAACUCUGAAGCUCCGCGAGCUAGUGCCACCUCUAGCCAGCGCCACCGUGACGCGUCCACCAACGUCACCCUCUUCCUUCAACGCGAUCAACUGUCGUCUUCUCCAUGAGCCCGUGCAUGCCACCGUGUCGUGCCUCCAACUUUCUAUUUUCGCCUCCAUAAACCAUUCCGCACCUACGUGAACCCUAAUUUAUUUUAAAAAAAGACGAUAUACAAAAACAUUCCUCCUGGAACCGUAUUUGUAUCCCCUUCACUUACAAAAAUGGUUAAUAGCCGUCGUUAAUGUACUUGUUUGUACUAGUGUCCCAUACAUUUUCAAAUCAAUUUAACUUCUUCAUUUCGAG
rnacentral:lncRNA from 1 species